rnacentral:rRNA from 1 species
UAGGGAAUCUUCGGCAAUGGACGAAAGUCUGACCGAGCAACGCCGCGUGAGUGAAGAAGGUUUUCGGAUCGUAAAACUCUGUUGUUAGAGAAGAACAAGGAUGAGAGUAACUGUUCAUCCCUUGACGGUAUCUAACCAGAAAGCCACGGCUAACUACGUGCCAGCAGCCGCGGUAAUACGUAGGUGGCAAGCGUUGUCCGGAUUUAUUGGGCGUAAAGCGAGCGCAGGCGGUUUCUUAAGUCUGAUGUGAAAGCCCCCGGCUCAACCGGGGAGGGUCGUUGGAAACUGGGAGACUUGAGUGCAGAAGAGGAGAGUGGAAUUCCAUGUGUAGCGGUGAAAUGCGUAGAUAUAUGGAGGAACACCAGUGGCGAAGGCGGCUCUCUGGUCUGUAACUGACGCUGAGGCUCGAAAGCGUGGGGAGCAAACAGGAUUAGAUACCCUGGUAGUCCACGCCGUAAACGAUGAGUGCUAAGUGUUGGAGGGUUUCCGCCCUUCAGUGCUGCAGCUAACGCAUUAAGCACUCCGCCUGGGGAGUACGAAANGCAAGGUUG